rnacentral:antisense_RNA from 24 species
UUACCAUUUGUGCUAGUUUUUACUUAUAUAGCUAUGCUUUAGCGCGCGACAAUUCAAGUAUGAACGACACAGCAACAA